rnacentral:snRNA from 1 species
UUAAUUAGCUGGGAGGGAUGAUUCUAAAAUCAUGAAGAUGGUUUCCACAGAGCAAGAUUUAUCCAUUGCUCUCUGCAUAGCCUGUCCCUAUGAUUUCCCCAAAUGCUGGGAACUUAACUAAACAUUUUGUAAUAGUGGGGAAUAGUACUGGCACUUU